rnacentral:rRNA from 1 species
GACGAACCGUACGAACGUUAUUCGGAAUUACUGGGCUUAUAGGGUGCGUAGGCUGCGCGGAAAGUUGGGUGUGAAAUCCCUCGGCUCAACCGAGGAACUGCGCCCAAAACUACCGUGCUCGAGGGAGACAGAGGUGAGCGGAACUUAGGGUGGAGCGGUGAAAUGCGUUGAUAUCCUAAGGAACACCCGUGGCGAAAGCGGCUCACUGGGUCUCUUCUGACGCUGAGGCACGAAAGCUAGGGUAGCGAACGGG